GGACGGGUAGCUCAGUUGGUAGAGCAACGGCCUGAAAAGCCGUGUGUCGCCGGUUCAACUCCGGCCCCGUCCA
rnacentral:tRNA from 1 species